UUGAAGGUAGACUAUAUAGUAAGUCUUUAGGUUCAUGCCCUGAAUAAGAGGUUUUAAUCUCCUUUCAAU
rnacentral:tRNA from 1 species